rnacentral:tRNA from 2 species
GGGGGUGUAGCUCAGCUGGGAGAGCACCUGCCUUGCAAGCAGGGGGUCAGCGGUUCGAUCCCGCUCAUCUCCA